rnacentral:rRNA from 1 species
ACCUCUGCAAUAGGCGAAAGCUUGACAGGGUUACUCUGAGUGAUGCCCGUUAAGGGUAUCUUUUGGCACCUCUAAAAAUGGUGCAGAAUAAGGGGUGGGCAAGUCUGGUGUCAGCCGCCGCGGUAAUACCAGCACCCCGAGUGGUCGGGACGAUUAUUGGGCCUAAAGCAUCCGUAGCCGGUUCUGCAAGUCUUCCGUUAAAUCCACCUGCUCAACAGAUGGGCUGCGGAGGAUACUACAGGGCUAGGAGGCGGGAGAGGCAAGCGGUACUCAGUGGGUAGGGGUAAAAUCCUCUGAUCCACUGAAGACCACCAGUGGCGAAGGCGGCUUGCCAGAACGCGCUCGACGGUGAGGGAUGAAAGCUGGGGGAGCAAACCGGAUUAGAUACCCGGGUAGUCCCAGCUGUAAACGAUGCAGACUCGGUGAUGGGUUGGCUUUGUGCCAACCCAGUGCCGCAGGGAAGCCGUUAAGUCUGCCGCCUGGGGAGUACGGUCGCAAGACUGAAACUUAA